CUUGCUCUGCCACUCAGGCUGGAGUACAGUGGCAGGAUCUUGGCUCACUGCAGCCUUAACCUCCCAGGUUCUAGUGAGCCUAUUACCUCAGCCUCCCGAGUAGCUGGGACCACAGGUGUGUGGCACCACACCUAAUUUUUUGUAGAGACAGGGUUUUGCCAUGUUGCCCAGCCUGGUCUCGAAUUUCUGGGCUCAAAGAAUCCACCCUCCUUGGCUUCCUGAAGUACUGGGAUUUCAGAUAUGAGUCACCACGCCUGGCCAACCAGUGAGUCUCGUCAGUCCUUCUGGUGCAUUGCUGAAUUAAACGCAAAGAAAAAAGAAACAGCCAAAUUUUCUGAAAGUCCUUCUAAAUUGUUAGGAAGCAAACAAACCUGCCAAUUUUAUUGAUUAUAAAAAGUUGCAUUGUGGAGUACGGAUUAAGUUUUAUGGAAAUCCCAUAUUAAGACUUAAAAAAAGGCCAGGCGCGGUGGCUCACACCUGUAAUCCCAGCACUUUGGGAAGCCAAGGCGGGUGGAUCACGAGGUCAGGAGAUCGAGACCAUCCUGGCUAACACGGUGAAACCCCGUCUGUACUAAAAAUACAAAAAAUUACCCGGGCAUGGUGGGCGGGCACCUGUAGUCCCAGCUACUUUGGAGGCUGAGGCAGGAGAAUGGCGUGAACCCAGUGCGUCCAGAAUUGGUUCCUUCCCAUGGGUUCUCGGUCUCGCUGACUUCAAGAAUGAAGCCACAGACCCUCGUGGUGAGUGUUACAGUUCUUAAAGAUGGUGUGUCCGGAGUUUGUUCCUUCAGAUGUUCAGAUGUGUCUGGAAUUUCUUCUUUCUGGUGGGUUUGUGGUCUUGCUGACUUCAGGAGUGAAGCCGCAGACCUUUGCAGACCUUCACAGUGAGUGUUAACAGCUCA
rnacentral:lncRNA from 1 species